UGGAAAUUGUUUACUAUUUGUACUUAGGUCUCUAGCAUCUACACGUUUGUGUUUAGAAGGUGUUCAAAACAAAGAAUGUGGUUGUGAACUUGUGUGAUUUAUAAUUGUUGAACAAGAAAUCGACCAAUUAAAUUUUGUCACGUCAUCACAACAAAAUUGUGAUGGUUAUAAUUUGAUUGGAUUUGGGUAGUCAAGUUUUUUCAUAUCCAACCCAAUUCAAGCCCCCGAUAAGAAAUCUGGCCAAACAAGAGGUACAAGCUCGAGCCCGCCAAGAAAAUGGGGCAAAAUGGCCUAAGCUCAAGCCCAACAAGCAAAUAGGCCCAAGCACAAACCCACUAAGCAAAUAGGCACAAACCCAAACCCACUAAGCAAAUAGGCCCAAGCCCACCUAAAGUCCAUGAAAUUUCUCUAUGAAUAAAGACCUUUACCAUUCAUUUGAGGGGUAUUUAGUUGAAGAAAGAAUUGAAGCUCUGAAGUACCGAAGAUUUGAAGAUUCAAACUUCUACAAGCUCUCAAGACGUGCAAGUUCGUAUCAACCUCGAGAUCAACAACUUCUGAAAGAUUGAAGACUUGGAAGAUUAAACUUUCAUUAGAUUCCAGAAGAUCGAAGCUCAAAUCAACUUGCAAUUACAACAUCCUGAAGAUCGAAAAUCGAGA
rnacentral:lncRNA from 1 species